rnacentral:RNase_P_RNA from 1 species
AUGUUCGGGUAAUUGCUGUAUGACUUAAUCAUGCAGAGGAAAGUCCAUGCUCGCACAGUCUGAGAUGGCUGUAGUGUUCGUGCCUGACGAAUUCAUAAGUUAGGGUAGCCUAUUGGCUAACGGCAGGGAACGUACCUAAGUCUUCGGAUAUGGUAUUAAUACCUUGAAAGUGCCACAGUGACGGAGUUCAACUAGAAAUGGUUGAAGUGGAACGAGGUAAACCCCACGAGCGAGCAACCCAAAUAAUGGUAGGGGCACUCUCCUGAGGGAAAUGAACCAAUAUGGAGGGACAAGCAACUUGUUGCUUGUAGAUAGAUGAUUACCACCUGAGUACGAGGUUGACCGCCGUUCGUAGUACGAUGGUACAAAACAUGGCUUACAGAA